GCGCACCAGGCGCGAAUCCUUCGCAAUGCGGGAAACCGCGACGAGGGGACUCCCAGUGCCUACGCUCAGCGUAGGCUGUUCCCGAGCCUAGAAAGCUCGGGGAGUAAGGGCUGGGUAAGACGGGUGCCAGCCGCCGCGGUAAUACCCGCAGCCCGAGUGGUGGCCACUAUUAUUGGGCCUAAAGCGUCCGUAGCCGGCCCGGUAAAUGCCUGGGUAAAUCGUGAGGCCUAACCUCACGAAUUCCGGGUAGACUGCCGGGCUAGGGGACCGGAGGAGGGAGAGGGUACUCCAGGGGUAGGGGUGAAAUCCUGUAAUCCCUGGAGGACCACCGGUGGCGAAGGCGCUCUCCUAGGACGGGUCCGACGGUGAGGGACGAAAGCCAGGGGAGCGAACCGGAUUAGAUACCCCUGUAGU
rnacentral:rRNA from 1 species